rnacentral:lncRNA from 1 species
AUGCUGUCGGUAAAGAUGUCAACACAGGAAGAGGAUUCGGUGUGUGAUAUGGCUCAGAGAGGACCAGAGCAUGAGCUGACUGCAAGGUGCCUGACAAAGAGCCAUCAAACCGAAGGCACGGGAUCAUUUUGGAGGUGUUUGUUUGAAGCUGAGUGGACAGGAAUCAUGUUUCAGAGCCGUCAGGGCUGUGCUCCUCUGCCUGCACGAUGCCUUCGUGUUGACCACCCUGCUUGGCUGAAGGAGAUGCCAAGUGGGAGAAGCAGAGGGUUCAGCCACAAUGUCUGUCUGUCAGCUCCCUUCAGAAAGGUCCUGCUGGCUCCUGACUUGCCUCUUCUCGGAUCCCGCAUGAUCUAUAGGCAUCCUCAUCCUGCCCCAGCAUUCCUGCAAGGCCGAACAAACUGCGGUGUGUGUGUGUGUGCUCCUGGAGACGGAGCUGCAGAAAAUCAAUGGGGCCAGAAGAAAAUGAGGCAGAGCUGUUGCUCUGAGCUGCAGAGAUGCUGUACUGAAGCUUUGACAUGCUGAGCCCUGUGUCCAAUUCCUCCAAAGCACGCUGUUCCAUCUACCUUUGAGAUGCCAGCUCCUCCAGGGUGAG